GCCUUCGUGGUGUAACGGUAGCACACUCGGCGCCCAGGUUCGGUCGAGGUACAGUAGCGGUCCAGGUUCGAAUCCCGGCGAGGUCA
rnacentral:tRNA from 1 species